UAAACGGUGCCUUUCGGCACCACCACAUCGAGGCAACAUCGCACCGU
rfam:Chlamydomonas reinhardtii strain CC-503 cw92 mt+ CHLREscaffold_19 genomic scaffold, whole genome shotgun sequence.